CUGGGGUCGGUCGCGGUCAGAGGUCGUACUUCGGCUGCGGGGCGCGGCGGGGUGGGUGGAUCCCGACCGGCCGGGCGCGAACUGGAGGCGACCGAACCCUGUGUCUCUCGCCAGUCUUACUGUGACAGGGCCCUGAGCGACAACUUUGUUACCACUAGACUCUGUAAGCUCCUACUCUGACUGGUGAACAGCCGCGUUUCGAAUUAACAACACUUCAGAGCGAGACCAAGCUCACCCCGCCCCGUCUGCAGGAACAAGCCUGGAUGUAGUCCGGCAGUCAGGGGUGUGGAGCCAUUGCCACGAGGGGGACGGGGACCGCGGGUGCCUCGCCAAAGUAACAGCGGUUGCAGGACUGCGCGGAAGCAUGCAGGCAGGUGAGACCCGCCUGAAGCCACGGGUGCGCAUCAGCGCUGCACUGUGAGUUACAUUUCUUGAAGCUGAAAUAGAGGAAGAGGAAAGAAUAGCAAGUGGCCAAAUGAAAUGCCUGCGGGGGCAGGAGGGCUGACACCAGGGCAGCAGGACCUGCAUAAAUGCAUGUGAAUUGCGCGGGUGUAACACACUCAAGCAGAGGGCCAGCCUUUGAGCUGGAGGGAGGGUUGUCGCCUUGGAAAUUUUACCAUGUAGCUGGGCAGCCUGUCUUUCAUUAGCAGCUCACUAGGGAAGAGUUAAAUCCCUUAAGAGCUGAAUCUCCAAAAGCACAGUGAUAAAGUGAUGGCUUUCUUGCUGA